ACUUGAAUAGCUUAUAUAAUUAGAGCAUAACAUUGAAGAUGUUAUCGAGAUUAAUUUUAUCUUUAAGUA
rnacentral:tRNA from 1 species